UACGGAGGGGGCUAGCGUUGUUCGGAAUUACUGGGCGUAAAGGGCGCGUAGGCGGUGCGAUCAGUCAGGCGUGAAAGGCCCGGGCUCAACCCGGGGACUGCGCUUGAUACUGUUGCGCUGUGAGUCCGGGAGAGGAUGGCGGAAUUCCCAGUGUAGAGGUGAAAUUCGAUAGAUAUUGGGAAGAACACCGUGGGCGAAGGCGGCCAUCUGGACCGGCACUGACGCUGAGGCGCGAAAGCGUGGGGAGCAAACAGG
rnacentral:rRNA from 1 species